GAGCUUGAUAGGUUUAUGAGAUCUGCUAAUUCUCAAAUCCGUGAUUCAAUUCACGGCAUGCUCA
rnacentral:tRNA from 1 species